CAAAGCGCUUCCCUUUGGAGCG
rnacentral:miRNA from 1 species